AUCUUCUUGAGAGUCAGGUUUUGCUAGUCUAUGAAGUGAUAACAUAUUUACCAUACCAUUGCACCAACUUCAGGAUUAAGGAAGACUGUAUUCACCUGCUGAGGGAGUAAAAUACCAUUACCCAUGAGGAUGCGGGUUUGAUUCCUGGCCUUGCUCAGUGGGUUGGGGAUCUCACCGUUGCUGUGAGGUGUAGUAUGGGUCACAUUUGCGGCUUGGAUCCCAUGUCACUGUGGCUGUGGCAUAGGCCAACAGCUGCAGCUCCAAUCUGACCCCUAGCCUGGGAACUCCACAUGCCGCAGGUCUGGCCCUAAAAAAGACAAAAAAAAAAAAAAAAAACCCCAAAACAAACAACAACCAAAAAAACUAUUGAGCGUUUACUAUGAUUUAAGCACUGUAGUAAAAUAUGUGUACAAAAAAAGAAAAAAAUGUGUACAUAUGCACAUAUUUCCUGUUAUUUCUCUAUAUUAGGUAUACAUACAUCUCAAAUGAGAAUGUAUAUUCUCAUUUAAUUCUCAUAAGAGUAUAUUAAAAGCAUUAUUAUUAUUUUUUAAUAGAUGAGACUGAGCUUCAGGGAGAUUACAUAAUUUUCUUUAGGUCACACAGCUAUCAAGUGUCAGAGCUGGGACUCAAGUCCAGGUUUGGCUACAAAGCCUAUGCUCUUUGGUGUCCAGCAAUACUUUCCAGCAAACCCUCCCUCCAUUAAAUGUCUUAUUUUGCCAAAUGACAUCCAUUAAUAAAAUUUUAGAUGCAUUCUCAUCAAAAGCAAUUAUACACUGAAUCGAAAACUUUUUGAGAUUAAGAAGUUAAUUGACUAGGGUGGAAGAGAGAGAUGUUCAGGGUAGUGAAAGCAACUGAAAAGAACUGCAGUGGUUCAGGGGAGAAAGAUGAGACCCUAGACUAAGUGGGUGUGCUGGUAAGAAUGGAGGAGAGAAAAAUGGAUAUGAGAUGUUUCUUAGCUUAGGCUGCUAUAGCAAAGUACCAUAGACUAGGUGCUUUAUAAAUAACAUGGUUAUUUCUCAUAGAUCUGGAGGCUGGAAGUCUGUGAUUAGAGUACCAGCAUAGUUGAGUUCUGGUGAGGGGUCUCCACCAGGUGGAGAGCAAAGAGAGGUAGCAAGCUCUCUCGAUUUAUAAAGGCACUUAAUCCCACUCACGACCUCAUCUAAUCCUAAUUACCUCUCCAAAGCCCUCCCUUCGUAUACCAUCAAAUUGAGGGAUAGGAUUUCAGUGUGUGAAUUUGUGGGGGACACCAACAUUCAGUCCAUAACACAGGUGCCAGUGAAGAUAGUGUGGCCAUUGCUAGUCUUCUGUGCUUCUUGAACUUAUGCAACUCACUCCUUCCUCAGUGCCCCCUGCCUGGAAGAGUCUUCCUCCAGGCCUUUAAAUAGCUGGCUCUUUCUUGUCAUCCGUGUCUCAGCUCAAAUAACACUACUCAUGAUAGAGAAACAUUUCAUUAUCUUGAAAAUUCAUCAAUAAAGGGAGAGAAUUGAGCAUUUAUCCUGCCUUUCCUAGAUGAACUGGGUAACAAAAUAGUAGAUAAAGGGGCAUGUCUUUUUCUAAAGUUAUUGUCAUAAUAAAAAUGAUUAAAAUUAGAAUAUCACCAUUUUGCAAUCGAUAAAACAGAUGGAUAUAGGAGCAUCAACAGCUUCUAAGAUUAUUAAAAAACAUCAGACAUUUUGUCUAUCCUAUAGUCAUACGAAAGGGAUUGGAACUUGAGUUUGACCUAGUCUUUGAUCCAGCUGCCAGUUUGCAGGAAAUACAGACAGGAACUAAACAAUGCUUAAGCAGUUAGCAAAAUACAGAGAUGCUUCAUAAGUCAAACUCAAGUUCUUCCAUAAAAAAAAAAUCACCUCUUAGGCCUUUCUCAACCAUGUUCUCGAAAUUAGUAUCUACUAUCCAAGUUACUAUCACAUUACCCUGUUUGAUUUUCCCCAUAGCCCUUGUCAUCAACUGAGGAGGUUUCCUUACAUGAGAAGCAAUAUAGCCUAUCAGUUAAGAGAACAAACUAUAGCAUCAGACUGCUCAAAUUCAAAUCUUGACUACUUGGUAGCUAUAUGACUUUAAAAAACUUCAGAGCUAUAGACUUCUGUUUCUCAACUAUAAAACAGGAUUAAUAUCAGUGCCUAUAUCAUAGGGUCAUUAGGAGUAUUGAAUGAAUUAACAUAUCUAAAGAGCUUGUCACAGUGCCUGAUACAGGCUAAGCAUUAUAAAUGCUAAUACAUAUGUCUUUUUUUUUUUUAAUUUCAUUUUUGGCCACCCUGAGGCAUUUGGAGUUUCCGGGCCAGGGAUCAAAUCCGGGCCAGGGAGUUGAGACCUACCCUGCAGCUGUGGCAACGCCAGAUCCUUUAACCCACUGUGCUGGGCCAGGAAUUGAAUCUGCAUCCUAGAGCUGUAGAGACGCUACCAAUCCUGUUGCCCCACAGCAGGAACUCUUGUAUGUAAGUCUGCACUAUUCCCAGCACCUAAAACUGCCUAGCAUAUAUAUCACAUGCACAAAAAAUGUUUGUUGAAUGAAGGGCUUGAAUAAAGGUGGCAAAGAAAUAGAGGAAAGAGACAUGUAAAAUCUUUUUAAAAGUUUAUUUAUUUUACAUGGAUUAUUUAAGAUAU
rnacentral:lncRNA from 1 species